rnacentral:SRP_RNA from 1 species
UGGCGGGCUAGCCUGGGCGAUUCGGCGUCGCCUGUAACUCGAAAUCGUCGAUAUGCGAGGGGCGAAGCUUGAGGAAGACGUUUCCAUUGUGAUUCAGUCCAAGAACCUACUAUGAUGCCCCGUCCUGUUGGGUCGGCUUUGGUUGAGGGCUAACCGAAGGGUUUGUCUUUAAUCUUGGUCACGGGUACUGGUUUAGGUCCGGAAGGGAGCAGACUUACCGUGAAUGACCGGCGCUCACAGGGUUGCGAGGCAGAGGAUGGGUCUCGGGUUGCUGGGGUAUGAUGGGAACGACGACCGAUAGCCUGCCUGCCA